AUUUAUUUACUCCUUAUGUUUUUCAAACUCGAGCAAAACUCCGACAAAACUUGCCUUGCCAUUUUUUCUAUCUAAAAAUAAGUUUUGUGAGACCCGAUCCUUAUUUAGCAUUGUCAACACUUUAAUUUGAGUUUUCUUGUAUUUACUUAUUUUACUUUUAUUUUCCCCAUCAUUUUGGGUUUUUACCACCUUAUUCUUUUACCCCAAAUUUAUCUGCCCAAAGCUGAGCCUUCUCCUUCACACGCAAAACUCAGCUUUUCCUCUUUCCUUGUUCACGUCAGAGUUGGACAGAGAGAAAGGGAGCCUCGUUCAGCUCUUCCCCUCCACGUUUCCAUCAUGCAAAGGGCAACUCCUCCAAGAACAUCAUCUCAGACCUUCAAAAGAGAGAACCCAGGCCAUAAAUCGUCAUUCACCCAUCUCUUCUCAACUUUCCUCUCGUCCCUGGACACAUCAGUCCGUUUACGAGCCCAAAAACACCUAGUUAGAGACCUCCGAUGAAAAAACUUUCUUCAUCAAAGUUGUUCGCCUAUGUCUUCUCUAUCUAGUCUCCAAAUAUCAGCUCCAUCGGAAUUGAUUUGAGACCUGUACACCCCUCGAAGCGGAAGCUGUUCCGGAGCACGCCUGUUCCGGAUUUCUGCUUAAACUUCCUCUCUUGCUCUACCCGAAUCCCCAACACCUUGCUUGAGACUGAUACCAACAGUUGUCUCUGUUUCACUUUGCAUGUUCGAGACUGAGCAAACUUCUUGGCCUGUGGCUAGACUCGAUCCAAUCAGCUCCUUCAGCUCUCUUUCCUGUUGAAAUCCUCAAGAGAAGCUCAUCUUUUUUUUGUUAGUUUUUGGCUUGACAUCGUGGUGGAAUCUUGUGAAGUGGUGGUUGCUACAAGGUUGCAUUGAGGCCAAGUGCUGCAAGAGAAAGCUCGAGUUCCAGGAGAGGUCAGUUCCUCCUUGAGCCACCGGUGGUGGGCAGUGUGCACCAUGCCCUUGUUAUCUCCCCUUUGUCUCUAGCCUUGUGAUUAAUGAAUUCCGGAAAGUGAUUGGCUAGAUGGACGGUUGUGAUGGAAGUGUGAAAGAUGAUCAAUUGCCGUGGGAUUGUAGUUACGUGGUGACGAUCACGUGGAAGCGCAAACCGGUUUUAUCUACUUCUUUUAUUCAAAACAAUAACUCAUGUUUUUAAACUUAGAUAUGGGGGCGGGCAUGGGCAAUGACUGGAUGUAGGAGCCUAACCCCUACUUUAGUUUGUUUUGCAGGCUGUUGUUGUUGAAGCUUGGGCACGGAGGAUAAUCCUUGGAGGACACAAUUUGUUUUACUCUAUUUAAAGUUUAUUUCUUUUCGGCUUGCUUGAUUUCACUAAAGUUUUGUAACAUUAUGUAUGGUUGAUGAUGUGUGUGCUUGCUUACCACCAAAGUGGAACCCUAGGGUUAGAACCUCCAUUUGAAUUUAGGUCCUAGUGGGCUAGACCUAGAAGACUCACAUAAAUUACCAUUUAAUGAACUUAAUGCAAACUUGGGGCUAAGAACUAAAAAUUGACAUAGGUUCUAAAACUCAACUCAACACCACCUUCCUUUCCUCUUAUUCGCCUAGUUCGUAAUCUUGUGAUUACGAGCCAAGCCCA